UGGGGAAUAUUGGACAAUGGGCGAAAGCCUGAUCCAGCCAUGCCGCGUGUGUGAAGAAGGUCUUCGGAUUGUAAAGCACUUUAAGUUGGGAGGAAGGGCAGUAAGCGAAUACCUUGCUGUUUUGACGUUACCGACAGAAUAAGCACCGGCUAACUCUGUGCCAGCAGCCGCGGUAAUACAGAGGGUGCAAGCGUUAAUCGGAAUUACUGGGCGUAAAGCGCGCGUAGGUGGUUCGUUAAGUUGAAUGUGAAAGCCCCGGGCUCAACCUGGGAACUGCAUCCAAAACUGGCGAGCUAGAGUAGGGCAGAGGGUGGUGGAAUUUCCUGUGUAGCGGUGAAAUGCGUAGAUAUAGGAAGGAUCACCAGUGGCGAAGGCGACCACCUGGGCUCAUACUGACACUGAGGUGCGAAAGCGUGGGGAGCAAACAGG
rnacentral:rRNA from 1 species